rnacentral:tRNA from 1 species
GCCGAUGUAGUUUAGUGGUAGAACAGCAGCUUCCCAAGCUGCGAGUGCGGGUUCGAUUCCCGUCAUCGGCUC